AGUGAACGCUGGCGGUAGGCCUAACACAUGCAAGUCGAACGGCAGCACAGGAAGAGCUUGCUCUUACGGGUGGCGAGUGGCGGACGGGUGAGGAAUACAUCGGAAUCUACUUUUUCGGGGGGGAUAACGUAGGGAAACUUACGCUAAUACCGCAUACGACCUACGGGUGAAAGCAGUGGAGCUUCGGACCUUGGGCGAUUGAUUUAGCCGAUGUCGGAUUAGCUAGUUGGCGGGGUAAAGGCCCACCAAGGCGACGAUCCGUAGCUGGUCUGAGAGGAUGAUCAGCCACACUGGAACUGAGACACGGUCCAGACUCCUACGGGAGGCAGCAGUGGGGAAUAUUGGACAAUGGGCGCAAGCCUGAUCCAGCCAUACCGCGUGGGUGAAGAAGGUCUUCGGGUUGUAAAGCCCUUUUGUUGGGAAAGAAAAGCAGCAGGUUAAUACCCCGCUGUUCUGACGGUACCCAAAGAAUAAGCAACGGCUAACUUCGUG
rnacentral:rRNA from 1 species